GCACAAGCGGUGGAGCAUGUGGUUUAAUUCGACGCAACGCGCAGAACCUUACCAGGCCUUGACAUCCCGUGCUAAGCCCAGAGAUGGGUGGUCCCCGCAAGGGGCGCGGAGACAGGUGCUGCAUGGCUGUCGUCAGCUCGUGUCGUGAGAUGUUGGGUUAAGUCCCGCAACGAGCGCAACCCUCGCCUUUAGUUGCCAUCAUUUAGUUGGGCACUCUAAAGGGACCGCCGGCGACAAGCCGGAGGAAGGUGGGGAUGACGUCAAGUCCUCAUGGCCCUUACGGCCUGGGCUACACACGUGCUACAAUGGCGGUGACAGUGGGCAGCGACCACGCGAGUGGAUGCGAAUCCCAAAAAACCGUCCCAGUUCAGAUUGCACUCUGCAACUCGGGUGCAUGAAGGUGGAAUCGCUAGUAAUCGCAGAACAGCAGGCUGCGGUGAAUACGUUCCCGGGC
rnacentral:rRNA from 1 species